rnacentral:rRNA from 1 species
UACGUAGGGUGCGAGCGUUGUCCGGAAUUAUUGGGCGUAAAGAGCUUGUAGGCGGUUUGUCGCGUCUGCCGUGAAAAUUCGAGGCUCAACCUCGAACUUGCGGUGGGUACGGGCAGACUAGAGUGUGGAAGGGGAGACUGGAAUUCCUGGUGUAGCGGUGAAAUGCGCAGAUAUCAGGAGGAACACCGAUGGCGAAGGCAGGUCUCUGGGCCACUACUGACGCUGAGGAGCGAAAGCAUGGGGAGCGAACAGG